rnacentral:rRNA from 1 species
GACGAAGGUGGCGAGCGUUACUCGGAAUUACUAGGCGUAAAGGGCUCGUAGGCGGUUUGUCGCGUCGGGAGUGAAAACACCGGGCUUAACUCGGUGCUUGCUUUCGAUACGGGCAGACUAGAGGCAUGCAGGGGAGAACGGAAUUCCUGGUGUAGCGGUGAAAUGCGCAGAUAUCAGGAGGAACACCGGUGGCGAAGGCGGUUCUCUGGGCAUGUCCUGACGCUGAGGAGCGAAAGUGUGGGGAGCAAACAGG